rnacentral:lncRNA from 1 species
GUAGUUCCACUGUAUUUCUGAAAGUACAUUGGAGUAUCAUCACAUUGGAGUAUCAUCUAAAUACCAUGGUACAUGGUUUUCAGUACUUUUGUAUAGCCAUGUAACCAUCACAAUAUUUUUGUAAGGGAAAUAGCAUGGUAGUUAUUCAGUACCAUGGUUUACAAAGUUCAUGUGGUUUAAAUAUGUAUAUUUAAUAUUCUAAGCAUCAUGGAGUGAACACCGUGAUAGCAGAAGGUGGUUGAAACUAACAUAAAAUCAGAUACCUUUUUAAAUGUCAUUUAUUCAGAUCAGUUUGCCUUCGUUGCAAACAAAUAACUUACUAGUUAUGUUUUCUGCUUGGAGAACACGAGAAUGAAAAUAAAACGCUUUUUCCCUCACAUUAUAAUCAGUUUACACAAGUAUCCCUCAUGCUGUAUCAUCCACCUCAGUGUCCUCAAGUGUCUUUUUUCCAUAACAGUAACGACUGCAUGUUGAUUUAGACAAAGGUUUGGAAAAGUCAUCCUUGUUUUUAUUCUCAAAAUAUCAGAACAGAAAUGGAACAAACAAAAGCAAACAUUUAACAAAAAAAAAGAAAAAAAAAAAAGUACUAACAACUACAUUAUAAUCAGUUUACACAAGUAUCCCUCAUGCUGUAUCAUCCACCUCAGUGUCCUCAAGUGCUUUUUUCCUAUAACAGUAACGACUGCAUGUUGAUUUAGACAAAGGUUUGGAAAAGUCAUCCUGUUUUAUUCUCAAAAUAUCAGAACAGAAAUGGAACAAACAAAAGCAAACAUUUACUAAAAAAGAAAAAAAAAAAAAGUACUACACUGUAAACAAGCCUAAAACAGACUCAACAUUUGAACAAUCAUACAGACAUGACCCCAUUUAUCCAAGAUCUGACACCACCUUUUUUUUUACAUCUAGAAAAAAGGCACAACUUGGUAAAUGCAUAUUAGAAAGAGGAUGUACAGGAGGAGUCUGCCUAUUCUGAACAAGUGUUGUGCAAAGUGUCUGGCGAUACAUUCAUUAUAUUACAGAAAUCAGCAGGUUACGGGGCACAAUGCAACCAUAACUCCAAACACAAUGCCAAAAAAGAAAAAACCUAAAUGAGGUAGAAAUUUGACCAGCGUAAAGUCUCUACGGUUUAGAUACUCUGUGUGCAUACACACAAGUUCAUUCCUUUAACUCAAGAAUGCAUGACUACGAUCUCAAAAAGAUUUCCCCACAACAACACACAACUGGGUAGCAAACCAUGACUUUUUCCCAGAAUAAGAAUGACUGCUGAUGUUUUGGGACAAGAUAUGCAUGCCUGCUUAGCUCACAAGUAUAAAAUGCAUGGUAAAUGACAAAUUUACAGAAUUCUAAAACUCAGUGGGUCCUAAAACAGCAGCAAGCAAGCAAAUUGUCUCUAAAUGACGAGCCCAAGAAACAAAAGUUCCUCGGAUAAAUGACAUGCCUGGUUUAUAUCAGAUCUUAGCAGAAUGAGGAAAAAUAAAGUGCAAGGAAUGAUUAGGCCUUUUGGCCUCCUAUUAAAGGUCUCAUAUGAAAGCAACUCAAUCUAAUAUUUGAUAAAGAUCACUGAAAGCACGAAAACUACUACCAAAUUAAAUCACUUUCAAAGAAGAACAAUUAAUUAUUUAUUGAAAAAGCUAUAGCUAAAUGAAAAAAAAAAUAGCAUAUUAUGGUCUAAAAAGAAAGGCCUUUAUUACAAUCCUGUGGUGUCUUUUGUGACGGCAAAAAAAAAUAAAAUAAUAGUAAUAAUAAUAAUAAAAAGAGAAGGGGGGGGCACUCCAAGACAGGCACUUAGCAAAAUAAUUUUUGGUAUUAAGCGCAAAUAGAAACUAUAGUCAAAAUUUAUAAUAACUUAGUGAAAUUCAGCUUCAAAACAAACCUAUACUAUAACCACUUAUUAUGUCCAUCAUUGAAACUGUAAUUUUCAGUAGAUUGUGUGGAAUGGUCAAUUUAACUAGGCAUGUAUUCCACAAACACCUUGGCUGUAUGACUUCUAUGCAAUGCAUGUUAUUUGUGACUAGUGAAUUUUAAUGGAACACAACUAACAACAGGACUAUGUGUAGUCACGCAGAGAUGAACAAGAUGUUACACUGUUAAAACAUUGAGAUCUCUGGUCACCUGUGGCUGAGAUCUUCCUGAGGGUCAUAGAGCUGAGCCCAAUAUAACUCACAAAGAGUACCCUAUCACUAAUGAGACUGCUCUGGAAUAAAGCUAUUUCAAGUAAGAUUUACAUUCAACUUCUAUAAACAAAACUGACAAAAUACCCGCAUAUAUUAGAGAGAGAAAGAAAAGAAAAACUACAGUAGUUAGAUCAGAUUCAACUAGAAGUAAUCGAUAGCAUGUAUGGGUCCAAUAAGGAAGGCAUGGCCUGUUUUAGGGUAUAGGCUCAUGGUUGUACCAACUAAGGACUGAAUUAAUAAAUAGCCCAAUUCCUAACAUUUCAGCCUGCUCGUUAGCACAAUCCAGACCGUUGAUUGGGAACAUCU